AAGCCUUUCGUGAUACGGUGAUAAAAAAUGACUCGAGUGAGUUGAUAAGUCGCCGAGUUCCGAGAGCAGGUAAAAGCCGGUAGUGUGUAUGUGUGUGUUGUCAGCGCGAAGAGCAAUAUCUCGAACUUCGUUACUACGCACUUCACCGCGUCGACGUCAAGGUUUUAAGUCGCUCUGUUGCCGUACAGACGCUGAAAUAUACCAGUGUGUCAAGAAAU
rnacentral:misc_RNA from 1 species